rnacentral:lncRNA from 1 species
UAACCCCAGCUGAUUUGGUUUGUACUACACUGCACCUUUGAGAUAGGUGGCUGAUUUCAGUCCUCAGAUGCAUCAUUGCCUGCACAUGGUUAUGCAAAGCUAGCUAGCCCAUGAAACAAAACAGUUGAUCUACCACAUAUAUAUCUCAGCUUGGCAGCCUUUACAAAAUCUGUUCCUGCUAGUGCUAGCCGUGGCUAGUGUAGGCAAUCAAGAAAAAAAAAGAAGUAGUAGAAAGGCAACAAAGAGGGAAAAAAAAAGAGGGGGAGAAAAGAUAGAAAUGAGGAGCAGAGGGAGACGGAGGGAAAAGAGGCUAGUGGCAGUAGCAUAAAUUCAGAUGACAAUUUGACGUGAGUGGCACAGAUUCACCAGCUCCCUCUGGACAAAAACUGAUGGCAUUUGGCGCC